GUAGCAAUGGCUGAGCGGUAAAGCAUUAGCUUCUGAACUGAGAGUCCCAGGUUCUAAUCCUGGUGAAGACU
rnacentral:tRNA from 1 species